rnacentral:rRNA from 1 species
AGCGAACGCUGGCGGCAGGCCUAACACAUGCAAGUCGAACGAACUCUUCGGAGUUAGUGGCGGACGGGUGAGUAACACGUGGGAACGUGCCUUUAGGUUCGGAUUAACUCAGGGAAACUUGUGCUAAUACCGAAUGUGCCCUUCGGGGGAAAGAUUUAUCGCCUUUAGAGCGGCCCGCGUCUGAUUAGCUAGUUGGUGAGGUAAAGGCUCACCAAGGCGACGAUCAGUAGCUGGUCUGAGAGGAUGAUCAGCCACAUUGGGACUGAGACACGGCCCAAACUCCUACGGGAGGCAGCAGUGGGGAAUCUUGCGCAAUGGGCGAAAGCCUGACGCAGCCAUGCCGCGUGAAUGAUGAAGGUCUUAGGAUUGUAAAAUUCUUUCACCGGGGACGAUAAUGACGGUACCCGGAGAAGAAGCCCCGGCUAACUUCGUG